rnacentral:rRNA from 1 species
GGACCCGCACAAGUAGUGGAGCAUGUGGUUUAAUUCGAAGAUACGCGCAGAACCUUACCAACACUUGACAUGUUUGUCGCGACUUUAAGAGAUUAAAGUCUUCGGUUCGGCCGGACAAAACACAGGUGCUGCAUGGCUGUCGUCAGCUCGUGUCGUGAGAUGUUGGGUUAAGUCCCGCAACGAGCGCAACCCUCACUUUUAGUUGCCACCAUUUAGUUGGGCACUCUGAAAGAACUGCCAGUGAUAAGCUGGAGGAAGGUGGGGAUGACGUCAAGUCCUCAUGGCCCUUACGUGUUGGGCUACACACGUGCUACAAUGGCAUUUACAAUAGGACGCAAAACGGCGACGUUGAGCAAAUCCUAAAAAAAUGCCUCAGUUCGGAUUGUACUCUGCAACUCGAGUACAUGAAGCUGGAAUUACUAGUAAUCG